rnacentral:rRNA from 1 species
UACAGAGGUCUCAAGCGUUGUUCGGAAUUACUGGGCGUAAAGGGCUCGUAGGUGGCCAACUAAGUCGGACGUGAAAUCCCUCAGCUUAACUGGGGAACUGCGUCCGAUACUGGAUGGCUUGAGUUCGGGAGAGGGAUGCGGAAUUCCAGGUGUAGCGGUGAAAUGCGUAGAUAUCUGGAGGAACACCGAUGGCGAAGGCAGCCUCCUGGGCCAACACUGACGCUCAUGCACGAAAGCGUGGGGAGCAAACAGG